ACAAAGGUAUUGAAAUAAGACUUUAAUUGAGUGCUAAGAGAAUGGAUUAACGGUAAAAUUCUUUUUUAAUUUCAAAAAUUAAAGUUAUUUUUGUUAGUGAAGAAACUACAAUAAAAAUUAAGGACAAGAAGACCCUAAGAAUUUUAAAUAAUUUAAAAAAAAAAAUUUUUUUUUUUAAAUUAUUUUAAUUGGGGCGAUUAAUAAAAAUAAGAAACUUUAUUUCUCCAAAAAAAUGAACCAUUAAUAAUGGCCAUAUGAAAAAAAUACUCUAGGGAUAACAGCGAA
rnacentral:rRNA from 1 species